AGCAGCCGCGGUAAUUCCAGCUCCAAUAGCGUAUAUUAAAGUUGUUGCAGUUAAAAAAGCUCGUAGUUGAAUUUCGGAAUCAGUACGGCGGUCGUGCCUCUGGUAUGUACUGUUGUUACUGGUUUCUCCCUUCUGAAGAACUAUCAUGUCAUUAAUUUGGUGUGGCGGGGAAUCAGGACUGUUACUUUGAAAAAAUUAGAGUGUUUAAAGCAGGCUCGCGCUUGAAUACAUUAGCAUGGAAUAAUGAAAUAGGACGUUUGAUCCUAUUUUGUUGGUUUCUAGGAUUGACGUAAUGAUUAAUAGGGAUAGUUGGGGGCAUUAGUAUUCAAUUGUCAGAGGUGAAAUUCUUGGAUUUAUUGAAGACUAACUACUGCGAAAGCAUUUGCCAAGGAUGUUUUCAUU
rnacentral:rRNA from 1 species